CCCCUACUUUCAGCUUCAUUUACCUCUUAAUUCUCCUUUGCCUGGAAGUGAAUUGACCAAGGAACCUUUUCGUUGGGAUCAGAGACUCUUUGCAUUAGUGUUGCGGUUGCCUGGCACCAUGUCAGUAGAAUCAGAACAGUUGACAGGUGUGCCUUUAGAUGACUCUGCAAUCACACCAAUGUGUGAAGUGACAGGCGGCCGUUCAUAUUCUGUGUGUUCUCCAAGAAUGCUUAAUCAGUGUCUGGAGUCCUUGGUGCAGAAAGUACAAAGUGGGGUGGUAAUAAACUUUGAAAAAGCAGGACCAG
rnacentral:lncRNA from 1 species